AUUGAACGCUGGCGGCAGGCCUAACACAUGCAAGUCGAACGAGUGGCGGACGGGUGAGUAAUGUCUGGGAAACUGCCUGAUGGAGGGGGAUAACUACUGGAAACGGUAGCUAAUACCGCAUACCAUCGGAUGUGCCCAGAUGGGAUUAGCUAGUAGGUGGGGUAACGGAUCACCUAGGCGACGAUCCCUAGCUGGUCCGAGAGGAUGACCAGGCAAACUGGAACUGUGACACGGUCCAGACGCCUACGGGAGGCAGCAGUGGGGAAUAUUGCACAAUGGGCGCAAGCCUGAUGCAGCCGUGCCGCGUGUAUGAAGAAGGCCUUCGGGUUGUAAAGUACUUUCAGCGGGGAUGCGUUACCCGCAGAAGAAGCCCCGGCUAACUCCGUGCCAGCAGCCGCGGUAAUAC
rnacentral:rRNA from 1 species